rnacentral:rRNA from 1 species
UACAGAGGUCUCAAGCGUUGUUCGGAUUCAUUGGGCGUAAAGGGUGUGUAGGCGGUUCACUAAGUUCGGUGUGAAAUCUCCCGGCUCAACUGGGAGGGUGCAUUGAAAACUGGUGGGCUUGAGUAUGGGAGAGGUAAGCGGAAUUCCUGGUGUAGCGGUGAAAUGCGUAGAUAUCAGGAGGAACACCUGUGGUGUAGACAGCUUACUGGACCAUCACUGACGCUGAAACACGAAAGCGUGGGUAGCAAACAGG